AAGUCGUAACAAGGUUUCCGUAGGUGAACCUGCGGAAGGAUCAUUAAUAUUUGGUUAGAGUCCACUAUUACGAUAGCGGACUUCGACUAAAUAUUCUUAAUUUUUUAAGGAGCAAGAUACCUUUAUAUUUAAAACCCCACUCUUGAAUGUAUAAAAUUUUAUGUAUUAAUGAUAAAUAAAAGAUCACUUUCAACAACGGAUCUCUUGGCUCUCGCAUCAAUGAAGAACGUAGUGAAGUGCGAUAAGUAUUGUGAAUUGCAGAAUUCCGUGAAUCAUCGAAUCUUUGAACGCAAAUUGCACUUUCUGGUAUUCCGGAAAGUAUGCCUGUUUGAGGGUCAGUCAAAUAAAAAUCGGUGUUGUUGCUGCCUUUCGUGGUGACGCGUCGGAAUUGAGUCGUCUUACCUUUGGUUAAGUGACUUAAAAUUCUGUAUGAUUUUCGAACGUAUUUAAAUUGCUUAUGUACGUUUGAGAUAUCGAAUGUUUAUUAGGUUCGGUCAUUCUCAUGACUCGCGCCUAUAAUUUUUCAUUAAAUGACCUCAAAUCAGGUAAAAAUACCCGCUGAACUUA
rnacentral:rRNA from 1 species